UACAGAGGUCCCAAGCGUUGUUCGGAUUCACUGGGCGUAAAGGGUGCGUAGGCGGUCGGGUAAGUCUGAUGUGAAAUCUCACAGCUUAACUGUGAAACUGCAUUGGAUACUAUUCGGCUAGAGAGUUGGAGGGGGGACUGGAAUUCUCGGUGUAGCAGUGAAAUGCGUAGAUAUCGAGAGGAACACCAGUGGCGAAGGCGGCGACCUGGGCCAAUACUGACGCUGAGGUGCGAAAGCGUGGGGAGCAAACAGG
rnacentral:rRNA from 1 species